CUAAUUUGUGCAGGGAAUUUUGACAACAGAGAAAGGCCCCAAGGACAAAGAACCUAUGAGACCCAGGUCAGAAGGGUGAUUCUAUCCAUGCUUACUUCUCUUAGUUCAAAUUCGGCAACUCACUUCAGUUUCCUGAGAACUGAGGCAGGACAGACGGCCGGACUGUUACGCUGGGAGUCUUCCUCUUUUCAGGGGACCUUAAUGAGGGUGACAGAAGACUGAAGAGCAGCCCCUCAAAUAUGCACGCAAUUCCUGGGACCUGUGAAUAUUACCUCAUCUGGUGAAGGAAGACUUCAGGGAGGCACUAAAACUAUGUGUCUCGGAAUGAAGAGGACAACUAGUCUGGAUUAUCUGGUGGAACUCCUGGAAUCACAGGGUCCGUAGGAGAAGGGAGAGGAUGCAUGGACAGCAGAGGAGACAUGAAUAGGCUGAGCUGCUGGCAUAGCAGAUGGUGGAAGUGACCAUGAGCCAUGAAUAUAAGAAAGGCGACUCUGAAAUCCUGAAAAUGGCCUGGGGAAGCCACUUCUCAGAACUGCCACCACAGUGACCCUAAGUUGAACACGUCAUAAACCAGGCACUCCCUGAACGAAAAGCCAUAAUAAGCCAUCAUAAAAGCAAGUUGGCUCAUUGGAGAAGACUGGUCUGUCCUAACAGACAGGCCAUUAAAGGACCUAGCCUGCAGCUUCUUCUGCCUGGAAGGGCUGAGCUAUUUUGGAAGUGAACCAAUUAAGAGCAGCAAGGCCCUGAGGCUGAUGGGAGACUCAGCAACCAUAGAUCCUGACAAUGGACGAUGCUGGAAUUAAACCGACAUGUGUGAGCAAAGUGUGGGCUCUUGAUGGAGACAAAGCAGUUUCCGUGACUCACAUUUCUGGGAGAUCCAGAUUCAAUACCUCAUGAAAGAUGGUAUCCAAUUGCCCGGUGAAUACAUGACAAGGAACUCAGAGUCGCCAGUGAUUAGUGAAGAUGCUAGACAAGCCCUCCACCACUGACUCCAUCCCAGCCCUCUGUUCUUUUCCUGACACUGCAGAUGUGACCUUUUAUUUGAAGUUUCUGUUUUGUGUUCACUAUACUAACCCCAGUUGGUUCUUAUUCAUCCACAUUUUAUCUGGAACUUUGCUAAGGAUUUAUAGGCUCAUUGAGAUUGUCAAGACACAUAGAAAGCCUUCUGUUUUGAUUCCUAUGCUGUCCUCUCUGGUACUUCUAGUUUAAUUGUGUCUAAGAGCAUUACCAACCAGCUAAUUGUGUUGUCAUUCAAAUCUUUCAUUCUCUAUCUCAAAAGGAAAGCUUCCAACAUUCCACCAUUAGCCUGAUGUCUGCAAAGUGUUUGGCGUGCUUUCUUUCACUGGGCUACCAAGUUCCUGCUAC